GAUGAACGCUGGCGGCGUGCCUAAUACAUGCAAGUCGAGCGAACGGACGAGAAGCUUGCUUCUCUGAUGUUAGCGGCGGACGGGUGAGUAACACGUGGAUAACCUACCUAUAAGACUGGGAUAACUUCGGGAAACCGGAGCUAAUACCGGAUAAUAUUUUGAACCGCAUGGUUCAAAAGUGAAAGACGGUCUUGCUGUCACUUAUAGAUGGAUCCGCGCUGCAUUAGCUAGUUGGUAAGGUAACGGCUUACCAAGGCAACGAUGCAUAGCCGACCUGAGAGGGUGAUCGGCCACACUGGAACUGAGACACGGUCCAGACUCCUACGGGAGGCAGCAGUAGGGAAUCUUCCGCAAUGGGCGAAAGCCUGACGGAGCAACGCCGCGUGAGUGAUGAAGGUCUUCGGAUCGUAAAACUCUGUUAUUAGGGAAGAACAUAUGUGUAAGUAUCUGUGCACAUCUUGACGGUACCUACUCAGAAAGCCACGGCUAACUACGUG
rnacentral:rRNA from 1 species